rnacentral:snRNA from 1 species
GGCGGGAUUACCCGCUGA